GUGGUUGUAGGUCAGUGAUGGAGCACUUGCCUCACACGUAUGAGGCACUGAGUUCAAUCCUCAGCACCACA
rnacentral:tRNA from 1 species